rnacentral:rRNA from 1 species
UACGUAGGCAGCGUGCGUUGUUCGGAGUUACUGGGCGUAAAGAGUGCGUAGGCGGUUUUCUAAGUUUGGUGUGAAAUCUCCCGGCUUAACUGGGAGGGUGCGCCGAAGACUGGAAGGCUUGAGUAUGGGAGAGGUAAGCGGAAUUCCUGGUGUAGCGGUGAAAUGCGUAGAUAUCAGGAGGAACACCUGCGGUGUAGACGGCUUACUGGACCAUAACUGACGCUGAGGCACGAAAGCGUGGGUAGCAAACAGG